AGAUGACCCCAGAGACUGCAACCAGAUGACAGGACAACUUUCUAAGGAGCAGAAUGCACUGCUGUUUCCUGGCCCCCAACGAUUUCAACAAGGAUGGAACAUCAAGGAGAAAAAAGUCAUUAAGAAGAAAAGGAUGAUGGGAACUAGAUCCAGGAGCAGUGCAUGAGAUGUGAGACCACUCAACUAAAACAAGAGCUCUCUCUCCAAGACACCCAGUAAAAUGAAGGAUCAGAUCAGGACAAGAAACUAGAUCAAGAGCAGCCACAGUAUGUGAACUGAGACAAUGGAAGAGGGGAUGCUUAAUAUAGUGACACAAAAGGAGGAAGUCAGAGUACAAAGAAAAAGCCACACAGCCACAGAGAGAACAUGGAUGGAAAGAACCAGAUGACCAGCAGAAUCUAAGAAGAUAAAGAAACAGUUCGAUGAGCCUCCAGACGAUCAACGACAGAAGAAACAUGUCAGAGAACAGGAGGAAGAUGAAUAACAGCAUCAAAGAGAGAAAAAGAAACAGACCCAAGAAGAAGAAGA